GCGAGGUGCUCAGAUUUUCAGCCACAGAUGAUCCUGCAGCUUGAACAGGAGUUUCUGUAGGAGCCGAUCCCAAGGAGGAUCCACGCACAGCAGCAGCAGUUGCCGUCCCGGCCGGAUUUUUUGUGGCAAGUGGCAGCGGCUCCCCAUGUGCAGAGGCCGCAGAAGAUCCCGCCGCAGCGACCGGCUCAUCAUUGCCGCGUGAUGGCGGAUCGGCCUCGGGUCCAACGCCGGUCGGAUGCAUGCGCGGAUCAGCGCUGGAUCCCGCUCCAGGUUCUGGCCCCGCACCGGUCGGGCGAACCAGAUGGCGCCGCUUGUAGCACACCGGGUGGCCGGUAAAGCGUGCGCCGCCCGCGCCAAUCGCAGGCUAACAAGUGGCGGACGAUGGUUGGUGCGGAGGUGACGACGCGCCGCACCCCAUGGGACGCGCCAGGUUCGAGGCAGGCGUGCGCGCUACUGGCGCCCCUGACGCAUCUGCCGCCGCUGAUCCCGAGGCGGAUCUGAUGCGCAGCACAAGACUCAUGCACAUCAUCAGUAGUAAGAGGGUUAGUCAGUAGUUGAUCAUCACUGUCGUUUCCCCCUUGAUCAACACCGGAGAGAUGAGGAGGCAAAAGAAGAAUCUCUUGACGAAGAAGAGCACCGGCAUUGGGAUGAAGAUUGGCAAAAGGAAAUUUGGUUUCAUCAAAGAUGACAUCACGUGAGAUAUACACACGACCAGUGGCAACGUCGAGGCACUUGACACCUUUAUGUUGGGUGCUAUAGCCUAGGAAGACACAUUGUUUGGAGCGGAACAUGAGCUUUCUAGUGUUAUAUGGGCGAAGAUUGGGCCAACAGGCACACCCAAACACACGGAGAGACUUGUAGUCGGGUUUGACAUGAAAGAGUCGUUCUAGUGGUGUUUCAUUGUUAAUGACACGACUAGAAAGCAUGUUGAUGAUGUGAACUGCUGUGAGGAAAGCCUCAUCCUAGAACUUGAGAGGCAUAGAUGCACCAGCUAGGAGGGCUAGGCCAACCUCAACUAUGUGUCGGUGCUUGCGUUCAGCAGAGCCAUUUUGUUGAUGAGCGUGAGGGCAUGACACAUGAUGUGAUAUGCCAAGGUUUUGGAAGAAGGAAUUUAAUUUUUCAUAUUCCCCUCCCCAGUCUGACUGGACAUCAAUGAUUUUACUAUCAAAUUUUC